UACGUAGGGUGCAAGCGUUGUCCGGAAUUAUUGGGCGUAAAGAGCUCGUAGGCGGUUUGUCGCGUCUGCUGUGAAAACCCGAGGCUCAACCUCGGGCCUGCAGUGGGUACGGGCAGACUAGAGUGCGGUAGGGGAGAUUGGAAUUCCUGGUGUAGCGGUGGAAAUGCGCAGAUAUCAGGAGGAACACCAAUGGCGAAGGCAGAUCUCUGGGCCGUAACUGACGCUGAGGAGCGAAAGCAUGGGGAGC
rnacentral:rRNA from 1 species